AGAGUUUGAUCCUGGCUCAGGACGAACGCUGGCGACGUGCUUAACACAUGCAAGUCGUGCGAGAAAACCCCUUCGGGGGUGAGUACAGCGGCGGACGGGUGAGUAACACGUGAGCGAUCUACCCGGUGGCGGGGGACAACCCAGGGAAACCUGGACUAAUACCGCAUACAGCGGAGGGAGUAGGUGCCCUUCGUGAAAGCUGGCCUCUCCAUGGAAGCUAGCGUCGCCGGAGGAGCUCGCGGCCUAUCAGCUUGUUGGUGGGGUAACGGCCUACCAAGGCGAUGACGGGUAGCUGACGUGAGAGCGUGACCAGCCACACUGGGACUGAGACACGGCCCAGACUCCUACGGGAGGCAGCAGUGGGGAAUAUUGCGCAAUGGGCGAAAGCCUGACGCAGCGACGCCGCGUGGGGGAGGAAGGCCCUAGGGUUGUAAACCCCUGUCAGGUGGGACGAACCCUGGGUCGACGAAUAGUUGGCUCAGCUGACGGUACCAUCAGAGGAAGCUCCGGUUAACUCCGUGCCAGCAGCCGCGGUGACACGGGGGGAGCAAGCGUUGUUCGGAAUCACUGGGCGGAAAGCGCGCGUAGGCGGCCGACUAAGUCGUAUGUGAAAGCGCCGGGGCUCAACUCCGGUAUUGCAUGGGAUACU
rnacentral:rRNA from 1 species